UACGGUAGGGGGCAAGCGUUGUCCGGAUUUACUGGGCGUAAAGAGCGCGCAGGCGGUCGUUCAAGUCGCGUGUGAAAGCCCCCGGCUCAACUGGGGAGGGUCACGCGAUACUGAUCGACUCGAAGGCAGGAGAGGGUAGUGGAAUUCCCGGUGUAGUGGUGAAAUGCGUAGAUAUCGGGAGGAAUACCGGUGGCGAAGGCGGCAUCCUGGACCGGCAUUGACGCUGAGGAGCGAAAGCCAGGGGAAGCCAAAGCGGG
rnacentral:rRNA from 1 species